ACUCAGACACUUGGUUGGAUUUACUCCAGUCACUCAGUGACAGAGGGAGCAGGGAAAGACCUCUGGGCUAUCUGUGCUUUUGGGGAUCUCGACUAGUGGUCGGUGCAGAGGAGAUCUGAGAGAUCAACUGGACAAGAGCAAAGGAUCUCAGGAAGGGAACCCUGAAUAUGGCACAAGAUCAGGACAUUUCCAAAAAAAACAUUUCACAUUGCCUACAUGAAGCCCGUCUCUGACUCCCCGUCCCCUCUGGAUCUCCUGGCAGCUGUUCUGUAUUCUGUGGUGCCUCCAUUGAUGAAUCCGGUCAUCUACAGCAUGAGGAACAGGGAGAUAGAAGCUGCCCUGAGGAAACUGCUCCACAGGCUGAUCCGCUCCAAGAACAGUCUGUCCAUGUUUCUUUCAUGACUUUGCUUUACUUAUAUUUUUGUUUUCUAAUUUACACAUUAACUUAGUUUUUUCAUAGUAUUGUGUGAAUCCUACAUAUAUAAAAUGAAGGUGGUGGGUUAAUUCUGUAACGUUGUAAGGUCAAAUACUUGGCUUUUAUCAUUUUGUAUUGGCACUGUUGAAGUGGGAAAGUAAUGUUUCAUGCAUCAAUUUUACUGUUUUUGCACCAUCUAAAAUACAUCCCAUCAAUUGCAAGA